AACGGUAACAUGUCUCUCCAAAUAUCUGAGCUUGGGUAUACGGGGAAACCCAACCCCUUGGAAAGAUGGGUGAUAUGGCUAAAUUGAGCGGA
rnacentral:ribozyme from 1 species